GUGGGGAAUCUUGCGCAAUGGGCGAAAGCCUGACGCAGCCAUGCCGCGUGAAUGAUGAAGGUCUUAUGAUUGUAAAAUUCUUUCACCGGGGACGAUAAUGACGGUACCCGGAGAAGAAGCUCCGGCUAACUUCGUGCCAGCAGCCGCGGUAAUACGAAGGGGGCUAGCGUUGCUCGGAAUUACUGGGCGUAAAGGGCGCGUAGGCGGACAGCUUAGUCAGAGGUGAAAGCCCAGGGCUCAACCUUGGAAUUGCCUUUGAUACUGACUGUCUUGAGUUUGGGAGAGGUGAGUGGAACUCCGAGUGUAGAGGUGAAAUUCGUAGAUAUUCGGAAGAACACCAGUGGCGAAGGCGACUCACUGGCCCAAUACUGACGCUGAGGCGCGAAAGCGUGGGUAGCAAACAGGAUUAGAUACCCUUGUAGUCC
rnacentral:rRNA from 1 species